rnacentral:rRNA from 1 species
AAUGAACGUUGGCGACGUGGAUUAGGCAUGCAAGUCGUUCGCCCCGCGAGGGGCGAGGCGCAAGGGUGAGUAAGGCGACGACAACCAACCCCGGGGGUGGGCAUAGCCGCGGGAAACUGCGGGUAAUUCCCAGCGAAGUCGGAGGGUGGCAUCAUCCACCGACCAAAGGUGCGAUAUCCGCCUCGGGACGGGUCGUCGUGGUAUCAGCUUGUUGGCGGGGUAACGGCCCACCAAGGCUAAGACGCCUACCGGGCGUGCGAGCGUGGCCCGGCACACUGGGACUGAGACACUGCCCAGACACCUACGGGUGGCUGCAGUCGAGAAUCUUCGGCAAUGGGCGCAAGCCCGACCGAGCGACGUCGCGUGGAGGAUGAAGGCCUUCGGGUUGUAAACUCCUGUCGAGGGGGAACAAGGGCCGGUGGAGAGCCGGACUUGAGUGAUCCCUGGAGGAAGCACGGGCUAAGUUCGUGCCAGCCGCCGCGGUAAGAC